CAAAAAUAGGAUUUUUUGGAGAAAAAAUUCAGUUUUUUUUCCAAAAUU
rnacentral:sRNA from 1 species